GAUGAACGCUGGCGGCGUGCCUAAUACAUGCAAGUCGAGCGAAAGGACGAGAAUUUUGCUGCUCUGUUGUUAGCGGCGGACGGGCGAGUAACACGUGGAUCCCCUACCUGACAGACUGGGAUAACUUCGGGACUCCGGGGCUAAUACCGGAGGAUAUUCUGAACCGCAGGGUUCAAUAGAGAAAUACGGUCUUGGUGUCACUUAUAGAUGGAUACGCGCUGCAUUAGGUAGUUGCUAAGGUAACGGCUUACGACGGCGACGAUGCGUAGCCGACCUGAGAGGGUGGUAGGCCACACUGGAGCGGGGACACGGUCCAGAGGCCUACGGGAGGGAGCAGUAGCGAAUCGGCCGCAAUGGGCGAAAACCUGGCGGAGCAGCGCGGAGGGAGUGAUGAAGGUCUCCGGAUCGGGAAACCAGCUUUUUGGGGAGGAACCUAUUUGUAAGGAGAUGAGGCGAUAGUGACGGUACCUAAUCAAAAAGCCCCGGCUAACUACGUG
rnacentral:rRNA from 1 species